UACAGAGGGGGCAAGCGUUGUUCGGAAUUACUGGGCGUAAAGGGCGCGUAGGCGGCCUUCUAAGUCGAACGUGAAAUCCCUGGGCUCAACCCAGGAACUGCGUCCGAUACUGGGAGGCUUGAAUCCGGGAGAGGGAUGUGGAAUUCCAGGUGUAGCGGUGAAAUGCGCAGAUAUCGGGAAGAACACCCGUGGCGAAGGCGGUUCUCUGGGACGGUACUGACGCUGAGACGCGAAAGCGUGGGGAGCGAACAGG
rnacentral:rRNA from 1 species